rnacentral:misc_RNA from 1 species
CCGAGUUAUACAACUCAUCAACCCUGUGAACAUACCUAUACGUUGCCUCGGCGGAUCGGACCGCGCCCCGUAACACGGGCCGGCCCGCCGCAGGAUCCCCCUAACUCUGUUUCUAUAUGUUAACUUCUGAGUAACAAACAAAUAAAUUA